UACGGGAGGCAGCAGUAGGGAAUCUUCGGCAAUGGGGGCAACCCUGACCGAGCAACGCCGCGUGAGUGAAGAAGGUUUUCGGAUCGUAAAGCUCUGUUGUUAGAGAAGAACGGUAAUGGGAGUGGAAAAUCCAUUACGUGACGGAACUAACCAGAAAGACGCUC
rnacentral:rRNA from 1 species